UUCAGGGGUUGACAUGCAGUUUCUUUCUUUCUUUUUUUUUUUUUUUAGAUUUAUUUAUUAAUUUGACGAAGAGAUUACAAGCAGGCAGAGAGGCAGGCAGAGAGAGAGGAGGAAGAAGCUCCCCACCACGCAGAGAGCCCAAUGACCUCGAUCCCAGGACCUUGAGAUCAUGACCUGAGCUGAAGGCAGAGGCCUCAACCCACUGAGCCACCCAGGCGCCCUGACAUGCAGUUUCUAAGGAAGGUCCUGACCAGCCCUAUAUGUCUGGUGAUGUGGAUCCCUCGGAGCUCACUUCUUCAAGAGGAGCUUGAAGUAGAGGACACUCUGGGACCCUUGGCAGACCGAAUGGGGAAAGCGGGAGUAGAGCUGGUGGAGGGAAGGAGGUCGGAGAAGAUAGAAGAGUUGGAGCAAGUGGCGAAUUUGGUACGGAGAGAGACUCCCGCAUCUGGCUGUAUGUCAAAAGGACCUGGAGAACUUUUACAACAUAGACCUGUAGAUCCAGGGAAGGGACCUGGCCCAUUUGAUAAUUGGAGCAGAGUAACACCCCCUUCAUUUUGUGACAAAAUUAUUUUAAGAGUAAUUAUGCAAUAAUCAGUAGUGACUAUAUAAGAUGUCAUGUUAUGAAUAAUAUAUGUAGGACAUAUGUUGUACAUAAUGUAGCUAUAAUAAAUAAUGUAUGUGAAA
rnacentral:lncRNA from 1 species